CAUUACUGAGUUUACGCUCUACAACCCUUUGUGAACAUACCUACAACUGUUGCUUCGGCGGGUAGGGUCUCCGCGACCCUCCCGGCCUCCCGCCUCCGGGCGGGUCGGCGCCCGCCGGAGGAUAACCAAACUCUGAUUUAACGACGUUUCUUCUGAGUGGUACAAGCAAAUAAUCAAAACUUUUAACAACGGAUCUCUUGGUUCUGGCAUCGAUGAAGAACGCAGCGAAAUGCGAUAAGUAAUGUGAAUUGCAGAAUUCAGUGAAUCAUCGAAUCUUUGAACGCACAUUGCGCCCGCCAGCAUUCUGGCGGGCAUGCCUGUUCGAGCGUCAUUUCAACCCUCAAGCUCUGCUUGGUGUUGGGGCCCUACAGCCGAUGUAGGCCCUCAAAGGUAGUGGCGGACCCUCCCGGAGCCUCCUUUGCGUAGUAACUUUACGUCUCGCACUGGGAUCCGGAGGGACUCUUGCCGUAAAACCCCCCAAUUUUCCAAAGGUUGACCUCGGAUCAGGUAGGAAUACCCGCUGAACUUAAGCAUAUCAAUAAA
rnacentral:rRNA from 1 species